rnacentral:rRNA from 2 species
GGGUUGUGAGGUUAAGCGACUAAGCGUACACGGUGGAUGCCCUGGCAGUCAGAGGCGAUGAAGGACGUGCUAAUCUGCGAUAAGCGCCGGUAAGGUGAUAUGAACCGUUAUAACCGGCGAUUUCCGAAUGGGGAAACCCAGUGUGACUCGUCACACUAUCAUUAACUGAAUCCAUAGGUUAAUGAGGCGAACCGGGGGAACUGAAACAUCUAAGUACCCCGAGGAAAAGAAAUCAACCGAGAUUCCCCCAGUAGCGGCGAGCGAACGGGGAGGAGCCCAGAGCCUGAAUCAGCAUGUGUGUUAGUGGAAGCGUCUGGAAAGGCGCGCGAUACAGGGUGACAGCCCCGUACACAAAAGCGCAUGUGCUGUGAGCUCGAUGAGUAGGGCGGGACACGUGGUAUCCUGUCUGAAUAUGGGGGGACCAUCCUCCAAGGCUAAAUACUCCUGACUGACCGAUAGUGAACCAGUACCGUGAGGGAAAGGCGAAAAGAACCCCGGCGAGGGGAGUGAAAAAGAACCUGAAACCGUGUACGUACAAGCAGUGGGAGCACCCUUUGGGGUGUGACUGCGUACCUUUUGUAUAAUGGGUCAGCGACUUAUAUUCUGUAGCAAGGUUAACCGUAUAGGGGAGCCGGAGGGAAACCGAGUCUUAACCGGGCGUUAAGUUGCAGGGUAUAGACCCGAAACCCGGUGAUCUAGCCAUGGGCAGGUUGAAGGUUGGGUAACACUAACUGGAGGACCGAACCGACUAAUGUUGAAAAAUUAGCGGAUGACCUGUGGCUGGGGGUGAAAGGCCAAUCAAACCGGGAGAUAGCUGGUUCUCCCCGAAAGCUAUUUAGGUAGCGCCUCGUGAAUUCAUCUCCGGGGGUAGAGCACUGUUUCGGCUAGGGGGCCAUCCCGGCUUACCAACCCGAUGCAAACUGCGAAUACCGGAGAAUGUUAUCACGGGAGACACACGGCGGGUGCUAACGUCCGUCGUGAAGAGGGAAACAACCCAGACCGCCAGCUAAGGUCCCAAAGUCAUGGUUAAGUGGGAAACGAUGUGGGAAGGCCCAGACAGCCAGGAUGUUGGCUUAGAAGCAGCCAUCAUUUAAAGAAAGCGUAAUAGCUCACUGGUCGAGUCGGCCUGCGCGGAAGAUGUAACGGGGCUAAACCAUGCAC